AUGCUUACCUGGCAGGGAAGACACCAUGAUCAGGCAGGUGGUUUUCCCAGGGUGAGGCUCAUCCCCUGCACUCCGGGUGUGCUGACCCCUGCGAUUUCCCCAAAUGCGGGAAACUCGACUGCAUAAUUUGUGGUAGUGGGGGACUACGAUUCCUUUUAUUUUCUC
rnacentral:snRNA from 7 species